rnacentral:tRNA from 1 species
ACGUGGGUGGCUUAGUCGGUUAAGCGUCUGACUUUGGCUCAGGUCAUGAUCUCACAGUUCGUGGGUUUGAGCCCCACGUC